rnacentral:rRNA from 1 species
ACGAACGCUGGCGGCGUGCUUAACACAUGCAAGUCGCACGGAAAGGCCCUGCUUUUGUGGGGUGCUCGAGUGGCGAACGGGUGAGUAACACGUGAGUAACCUGCCCUUGACUUUGGGAUAACUUCAGGAAACUGGGGCUAAUACCGGAUAGGAGCUCCUGCUGCAUGGUGGGGGUUGGAAAGUUUCGGCGGUUGGGGAUGGACUCGCGGCUUAUCAGCUUGUUGGUGGGGUAGUGGCUUACCAAGGCUUUGACGGGUAGCCGGCCUGAGAGGGUGACCGGCCACAUUGGGACCGAGAUACGGCCCAGACUCCUACGGGAGGCAGCAGUGGGGAAUAUUGCACAAUGGGCGGAAGCCUGAUGCAGCAACGCCGCGUGCGGGAUGACGGCCUUCGGGUUGUAAACCGCUUUCGCCUGUGACGAAGCGUGAGUGACGGUAAUGGGUAAAGAAGUACCGGCUAACUACGUG